rnacentral:lncRNA from 1 species
CUCAGUACCAUGUUCCAUCUUAAGAAAUAGCUGGGUGUUGACAGUUAUCAGCCUUUAUUUCUUUUUCCGGUUAUCGUCUGUUUGGAUAAUAGCAAUGUCCAGAAUUAGUAUAGCACUUAUUUUCAGCAUAAGAAGGCUGUUUGCGGUAGUCAUUCAAUGAUAAACUAUAUGGCAAAGUAUUUUCUUGCAUCACCUUCAUAGGUGCAUCCAAAG